GACAGAGGGGGCAAGCGUUGCUCGGAAUUACUGGGCGUAAAGCGUGCGCAGGCGGUCUUGCAAGACAGAUGUGAAAUCCCCGGGCUCAACCUGGGAACUGCAUUUGUGACUGCAAGGCUGGAGUACGGCAGAGGGGGAUGGAAUUCCGCGUGUAGCAGUGAAAUGCGUAGAUAUGCGGAGGAACACCGAUGGCGAAGGCAAUCCCCUGGGCCUGUACUGACGCUCAUGCACGAAAGCGUGGGGAGCAAACAGG
rnacentral:rRNA from 1 species